UACGGAGGGUGCGAGCGUUGUCCGGAAUCAUUGGGCGUAAAGGGCGCGUAGGUGGCUUCUUAAGCGUGCGGUGAAAGCCUGGGGCUCAACCCCGGGUCGGCCGUGCGAACUGGGGAGCUGGAGCACUGUAGAGGCAGGCGGAAUUCCGGGUGUAGCGGUGGAAUGCGUAGAGAUCCGGAAGAACACCGGUGGGGAAGGCGGCCUGCUGGGCAGUUGCUGGCACUGAGGCGCGACAGCGUGGGGAGCAAACAGG
rnacentral:rRNA from 1 species